rnacentral:rRNA from 1 species
GCGCACCAGGCGCGAAACCUCCUCAAUGCACUCACGUGCGAAGGGUUACCUCGAGUGCCGCCUGAAGAAGGCGGCUUUCCAUGGUCUAAAAGCCUAGGGAAUAAGAGGGGCGAAGACUGGUGUCAGCCGCCGCGGUAACACCAGCCCCUCCGAGUGGUGGGGAGUGAUUAUUUGGCCUAAAGCGUCCGUAGCCGGCCGGGUAAGUCUCCCGUUAAAUCCAGCGUCUCAAGCGUUGGACUGCGGGAGAUACUGUCUGGCUAGAGAGUGGGAGAGGUGUACGGUAUUCUGGGGGUAGGGGCGAAAUCCUUUGAUCCCCCGGAGGACCACCAGUGGCGAAGGCUGUACACUAGAACACGUCUGACGGUCAGGGACGAAAGCUGGGGUAGCGAACCGGAUUAGAUACCCCCUGUAGU